rnacentral:lncRNA from 1 species
UGUGCAGUCAAUUUAGGGACCCGCUGAUACCAUCAGCCUUACAGUUUAUGGGAUGAUUCUUUCUGUUUUGCUGAUGAAGAAACUGAGGCACAGAGAAUCUGUAACUUGCCCAAGUUCCCCUUGCUGUAAGUCCUGGAGCCAGAUCUCAGGUGGAGCAGCCUCUUCCCCCAUCCCCUUCCCACAUUUUCCAAUUCAGCUGGGUCAAUUCUUUCCAAGUACGUGUUUCUCUCCCCUAUACCUCAUUUCUGAAAAAAGGAAAACUGGAAUUUAACUUCUUUCAUCUAAUACAUUUCCUCACAACAUGCUGCCAGCAUCAUAUUCUGGCCACUCACUAUUAAAGUGAGAUGCCUUUUUUUUUUUUUUUUUUGAGACAGGGUCUUGUUCUGUCACCCAGGCUGGAGUGCAGUGGUGAUUAUAGAUCACUGCAACCUCAAACUCCUGGGGUCAAGUGAUCUUCCUGCCUCAGCUUUCCCACUAGUUGGAACUCUAGGCACACAUCACCAUUUCUGGCUAGUUUUUUUGUUUUUCAUAGAGACAAGGUCUUGCUAUGUUGCUCGGGCUGGUUUUGAACUUCUGGCCCCAAGCAAUCCUCCCACCUAGGCCUCCAAAAGUGCUGGGAUUACAGGAGUGAGCCACUUAGGCUAGCCCUGAAAUGCUUUUGUUUUUGUUUGUGUUUUUUGUUUUUUAAUGAAAAUACAGGACAUGGAGAUGUGGAAAGACACCUUGCUUUAUUACUGUUGUUAUUAUUAUUAUUACUACAGUAUAAUUCAUGUAUCACAAAAUUCACGAUUUUUAAGCAUACCUUUCAGUAUUUUUUACUAUAUUCCAAAAGUUUGCAGCCAGCAGCACUACCUAAUUCCAAAAUAUUUUCAUAAUGCCAAAAAGCAUGCCUGCACCUAUGGGCUGUCACUCUGCAAUUCCCCCCUUCUUGCAGUCUCUGACAACCACUAAUCUACUUUCUCUAUAUAUAGAUGUACUUGUUCUGGGCACUUCCUCUAUAUGGAAUAACAAAUUGUGGCAUUUUGCAUCUGCUUCUCAGCAUAGUGUCCUCAAGUUUCAUCCUUUUUAGCCUGCAGCAGUACUUCAACAUUUUAUGGCCAAAUAAUAUUCCACUAUAUGGUUAUACCUAAUUUUGUUUAUUCAUUUAACAAUGUUUUCACUUUUUAACUAUUAUGAAUAAUGCUGCUAUGAACAGCUUUGUACAUGUUUUUGAGUGAACAUCUGUUUUUCAUUUUUUUGGUUAUAAACCUAGGAGUGCAAUUGCUGCAUCAUAUAUCACUUUAUGUUUAACUUUUUUAUGUUUAAUUUUUUUAUGUUUAACUUCUUGAGGAACUCACACACUGUUUUCCAACCUCAGUGGCUAUGCUACUUUACAUUCCCACUAGUAAUAUAUGAGAAUUCCAUAUUCUCCAUAACUUUCCAAACAUGUAUUGUCUUUAUUUUUUUCUUAAGUCAUACUAAUGGGUGUAAAGUGGUAUCUCAUUUUGGUUUGAAUUUACAUUUUCCUAAUGAUGAAAAACAUCGAACAUCUUUGCAUGUGCUUCUUGGCCAUUUGUGUGUUUCCUUUAGAGAAACCUCUACUCACAACUUUUCUCCCAUUGUUAAAUGUGGUUGUCUUUUAUUGCUCAGUUAUAUGAAUCCCUUAUAUACUCUAGGUAUUAGACCCUUGUCAAAUACAUAAUUUGGAAAUAGUUCUCCCAUUAUGUGGAUCAUCUUUUCACUUCCUUGACAAUGUCCUUUGAAGCAUACAAGUUUUUUAUUUUAUGAAGUCCAUUUAUCUAUCUAUUUUGGGGUUGUUUGUGCCUUCUUAAAAAAUGUCUAAUCCAAAGUCACAAAGAUUUGUACCUAUGUUUUCUUUAAUACAUCGUUUUUUGAAUGAGAACUUUCCUGGGUUUUAGUGGAGGGUGGACAUUGUUUAUUUAUGCCUUCUGUCCAUUACUGAUAUUUCUCCUGAUUGUUAUUCAUAUGCUCACCACCCCUCCAUGGAGCAUCCGUGGCCUGUAACAGAGCUCUGGGGACCGAUAUCCUUCCACUGACUUUGGCACUGGUGAGAGCCCUGGUCAUGUGGUUCAGCUUGGCCUUAACCCGACCCAGUUGCACAUAUUCUUCAGGGCCUUUAGAAUUGAAGUUGAGAGGCUCUCUGAGAACGCUUGCCAGCCCAUGCUGUUCUAAGGCUGGAGCAAACUUCUACCGUCUAUUCCAGACAGAGGGGACCACAGGAGUUGGACUCAGUCAAGACAUCUCUGGUGUUAGAAAGUAGACCUGCUUCAGGAUUUGGGGAAGAUUGUUCAAUAUGAACUACGUCCUCCCUAAUUAUUUUUACUAUAUGUGUGACUUCUUUCUAGAAACAAAGGAAGAAUAUUUAUGUUAGAAUAUUUUGUCUAUUCUUUGUCAAUCGUUGUUUGUCUACAAUUUUAACGUGGAUUAAGGAGAGCUCAGUGUAAAUAUAUUCUUAACAAUUAAUUAUGGUCCAUGUCCACUGCCAUGCAAUCAUAUUUAAAUCUAUGAACUAUCCUGUUACUUAGGUAUUAUCCUGCUCCUGAUGAGAAAACAAACUCAGAAAGAUUGCAAAAUUUCCCUAGGUCACAAAACUAGUGAAGAGAGGAAUAAGAAUUAGAAACCAUUUCCUUUUGGCCUUCAAAGCUAACCGUGUACCAUUAGAUCAAACUGAUUUACAUACUUUUGCUGGAAUUAGUCUCAGAGUUUGUGGUUCUCGCUUGAUUUUCCCAAGGAAACUGUGCCACUUUAAUAUCAUUUCAAACUUUGAAAUUUAAAACUUUUUUAUUAUACUUUUUUGUCUUUGUUCUAUUCCAUUGCUUUUGGUUUCUUCUCAACUGAUCCCUCUUAUUUAUAUGCUAAAUAUUUGUUACCUAUAUUCUGUCAAUUUUCACAUUUUUGAGUGUUUUCUCUCUCUUUGUUGUAUGCUAACAGUUCUUCACUGAGGUAUAAUUUGCAUAGAGUAUAUUGCAAAAAACCUAAAGGUACAGCUUAAUAAAUUUUGACAUAAUUAUACAUUAUAUAAUAACACCCAGUUCAAGACAGACAACAUUUUCCUCCAUGCCACAAAGUUCUGAUGUGGUCCUUGCAAGUCAAUACUCAUCCCCCAAAGGAAGAAUGUAUUCUGAAUGUUGUCACUGCCUUAGUCCCUUUUUGUUGCUAGAAAGGAAUACCAGAGGCUGGGUAAUUUAUAAAGAAAAGAGGUGCAUUUUGCUCAUAGUUCUACAGGCUGCACAAGAAGCAUGGCACUCGCAUCUGCUCCUAAUGAGGGCCUGAGGCUGCUUCCACUUGCAGCAGAAGGUGAAAAGGAACCAGUGUGUGCAGAGAUCAUAUGGUGAGAGAGGAAGCAAAAGAGAGCAAGUAAAGGUGACAGACACUUUUUAAUAACCAGCUCCUACAGGAACUAAGAGAGUGAGAAUUCACUCACUACCUUCUCCCAAGGUGGGGAUCAACCUAUUCAUGAGGGAUCCACUCCCAUGACCCAAACACCUCCCAUUAAUCCCCACCUCCAAUACUGGGGACCACAUUUAAACAUGUGAUUUGGAGGGGACCAAUAUCUAAACUAUAGCAACCACUAUAGAUUAAUUUUGCUUAUUCGUGUGCUUCACAAAAAUGGAAUCAUUUUGGCCGGGCCUGGUAGCUCAUGCCUGUAAUCCCAAGACUUUGUGAGGCUGAGGCAGGCAGAUCACCUGAAGUCAGGGGUUCGCAACCAGCCUGGCCGACAUGGCAAAACCCUGUCUCUACUGAAUAUACAAAAAUUAGCCGGGUGUGGUGGCAGGUGCCUGUAAUCCCAGCUACUUGGGAGGCUGAGGCAGGGAAAAUUUCUUGAACCCAGGCGGCAGAGCCGAGAUCGUGCCACUGCACUCCAGCCUGGGAGACAGAGUGAGACUCUGUCUCAAAACAAUAACAAAAUGGAAUCAUUUAGUAUGUUCUCUUGUUUUGACUUCUCUUUACUCAGGUGGGUAUAUAUGCCACUAAUUUGUUUGAUUGUGUUUUUUCCUUGUUUCAUUUUGUUUUGGCCAAGUAAUAUCCUAUUGAUGGUAUGACUAUCAUACAAUUUAAUAUCCAUUUUUCUGAUGGGAGACAGGUUUACUUGUUGGCUACUGUGCAUAAGUAACUAUGAAUAUUCUCAUACAAUUACUUCUGUGAAGAUACAUACUUAUUUUCCUGGGUAUCUAUAGCUAGGGAUAGAGUUGCUUGGUGAACGGGUAGAGAAACAGGUUUACUUGUUGGCUACUGUGCAUAAGUAACUAUGAAUAUUCUCAUACAAUUAUUUCUGUGAAGACACAUACUUAUUUUCCUGAGUAUCUGUAACUAGGGAUGGAGUUGUUUGGUGAAUGGGUAGAAAACAGGCACAGAGUUUUGCAAAGUAAUUGUAUUAUUUUACAUUUCUGUGAAAGAUGUAGGCCAUUUCCAGUCGCUCUACAUUUCCACACACUUAAUAUGUUCAGUUUUUUAAAUAAUAGCCAUUCUACCAGGUGUGUAGUGAUAUCCUAUUUUGGUUUUCUCAUGCCUAAUGUUCAUUUAGAUGUCUUCUUAUGGAAAAUAUCUUUUCAAUUUUUUAUGUUCAUUGAUACACUGGGGUGUUUGUCAUUUUCUUUGUAAACUAUAGGAGUUCUUUAUAUAUUUUGAAUGAGUCCAUUUAUAUAUACAUAUUUUUUGCUGUAUUAUAUAGCAAAUAAUUAUUCCUGGUCUACAGAUAGCUUUUUAGUUGUUAAACAACAACAUAAUAAGCAGAAGGUUUUCAAAAAUGAAGUGCAAUUCACUUGAUUUCUUACUGUGGAAAGUGCUACAGUAUCUAGUCUAAGAAAUAUUUUCCUAUAUCAAGUUCAUGAAACUAUUUCCUCUUUUUCCUUUACAAGGUUUCUAAUUUUAACUUUCACAUCUUAAGUUAAUUUCAAUGUAUGAUGGAGAGUGGUUGUUAAUAUUAACUUUUUAAAACAAUAAAUAUUAUUUCACUCAAAAUCGUUUUACUUAAAAGUCUUUCAUUUCCCCAAUGAAGGGCAUUGGUGUCUUUGUUUUUAAAACAUUUAGAAGUGGCGGUGCGAGCAUGUUCUCACUCAUGGGUGGGAAUUGAACAAUGAGAACACUUGGACACAGGGCGCAGAACAUCACACACUGGGGCCUGUCUUGGGGUGAGGGCUGGGGGAGGGAUAGCAUUAGGAGAAAUAUCUAAUGUAAAUGACGAGUUAAUGGGUGCGGCAAACCAACAUGGCACAGGUACACCUAUGCAACAAACCUGCACGUUGUGCGCAUGUACCCUAGAACUUAAAGUAUAAUAAUAAAAAAUAUAUAUACAUAUAUAUAAAAAGAAGUGGCGG